CCUGAUGACCAUAGCGUUUUGGAACCACCUGACCCCAUGCCGAACUCAGAAGUGAAACAAAACAGCGUCGAGGAUAGUGUGGGCUUCCCAUGGGAAAGUAGAACAGCCGCAGGGC
rnacentral:rRNA from 1 species